AACCCCCAUAGUGUGGAGGGAGAGACGGUGCAGGAUGUGAAUACUGCCGUCGUGGAACGCCAGAGCCAGACCUGACAACACAGAGAGAACUGGUUCUCAGACAGGGUGUGUGCAGCUGACAGACAGGUGAGUUCUCCUCACCGAGUCCGGGGCAGAACUUGGUGUCUGACGCCACCUUCAGGUCGGUGUUGGAGAUGGAGAUGGGCAGUUUGGGCAGAGCGACGGCCGACACGCGCUCCAGAUCGCCGGUGGUCGUCAGGAUCCUCCACUUCAGGAUGGUCGGC